rnacentral:rRNA from 1 species
AUUGAACGCUGGCGGCAUGCCUUACACAUGCAAGUCGAACGGCAGCGGGGGAGAAGCUUGCUUUUCCUGCCGGCGAGUGGCGAACGGGUGAGUAAUACAUCGGAACGUGCCCUGUAGUGGGGGAUAACUAGUCGAAAGAUUAGCUAAUACCGCAUACGACCUGAGGGUGAAAGUGGGGGACCGCAAGGCCUCAUGCUAUAGGAGCGGCCGAUGUCUGAUUAGCUAGUUGGUGGGGUAAGGCCUACCAAGGCGACGAUCAGUAGCUGGUCUGAGAGGACGAUCAGCCACACUGGGACUGAGACACGGCCCAGACUCCUACGGGAGGCAGCAGUGGGGAACUUUGGACAAUGGGCGAAAGCCUGAUCCAGCAAUGCCGCGUGUGUGAAGAAGGCCUUCGGGUUGUAAAGCACUUUUGUCCGGAAAGAAAUGGCUCUGGUUAAUACCUGGGGUCGAUGACGGUACCGGAAGAAUAAGGACCGGCUAACUACGUGCCAGCAGCCGCCGUAA